rnacentral:tRNA from 1 species
GGGAAUGUGGCUUAGUGGUAGAGUGCUUGCUUAGCAUGCAUGAAGCCCUGGGUUCGAUUUCUCAGCACCA